ensembl:lncRNA
AGAGGACUGAACUGCAGCUGGAUGGGUCCUGUUUCUUGGCAUUAAGGGUUGCAGGUUCUUUAGAGCUGAAGGACCUGGGGACUUGGAGGGUGGGUCUUUAUUCAGUGUGGCUCUCGAACUGGUCCUGACCCCCCCUGCCUCAGCAGAAGCUGUGCCCAGCGUGUGGAAGAAUAUCUGAGUCUGGUUACCCACAGUUUUCUGCCAGGAAGGGGCAGGGUGGCACUCAGUGCAGAAUGGCCCUGCACCCCUCCUCUCUCCCCAAAACCACUGCUGCCAAGCCUCUGUCGUCCAUCAGCCUCACAAACCCCACCACCCAGCCUUUGCCUGUGCUGUCCUCUGUAACAGCACCCUCUGUUCCUGUCCUUGGGGACGGCUGAUGGCUCAUACACCUCCUGGAUGCUCUGGCCUUCAGCACGUCACAGGCGGUUUUCAUCAGGCUCUCACCUGGGCCGGGGGCUCUGCCGAGGAUGGUGGCGGUGACCUGGAGAGAUUUGUAGACACAGAAAUACGGAGACCCACAGGGAAGAAGGUCACACGAUGAUGGAGGCAGAGACUGGAGUGAUGUGGCUCCAAGCCGAGGAACACCAAGGACUGUCUGCACCCACUAGAAGCUGGGAGAGAGGCACUGAACCGACUCUUCCUAGAGUCUCCAGAAGCAACCAGCCCUGCCAGCAUGGUGAUUUGGGACUGUGACCUCUUUUAUUUUUUUUAUUUUGGCUGCACUGAGCAGCUUGGGGGAUCUUUGUUCCCCAACCAAGGGUUGAACCCAGGCCCUUGGCAGUGAGAGUGUCAAGUCCUAACCACUGGGCCACCAGGGAAUUCCCUGGCCUUCUUAAUUAUGAGAGAAUAAAUC